AGCCAAUCCAACCACCAAUCAGCUGCUCGUGUUGAAUCAGGCUGCAAUAAUGUGCUGAAACUGACCACGCUGUUUGCUGUUUGCUGCAAGGACACUAAUCAGAUGAAUACUGAUGGAUGCUGUUUGGAUGAAUCAUUGCUCUGGUUAAGCAUUCCUAGAUCAUGAAGUCCUGAAACUAAACUGGCAGGGGGAGAGAAGAUAGCCUCAGGCAGCAGCCAUGGAUUAAUCAAGAUUCGACUACUUGUCAGUGCUGAAGAAAGAUUCGGCUGCUCCUAAGUCAAGUGUUAUAUUGAAAUGCUCCAAACAAACAAGCAAGAAUAAAGAAGGAUUUCUUCUGCAUCCCAGAAUAGAAGCCCGGGGAAAGAUUUGAAGAAGAAUGUCACAUAUCACUGUGACAAGAGCAUAUUCUAGCUGGAGAUGCUCUAUGAAUGCAGCAAAGUUACAAACAACACAAGAAGCCCGACAGCACAAGAACAAAGAAGUCAGCAAAUCUGAGUAAUCUUGUUCUAUUGGCUUUUUGCUGCUUCUUUUUCCCCAAAUAGAUCAAACAUCUUCAGAGUCCUGAGAUAGUCAUGUCACAGAUGGAUGGAUGCACCCUGAAUGAAAUACCCAUGAAUCCAUGCAUGAAGGAUUCCCCUCCCCCCAAAGAUUAUGGGAAAAAGGAUAAAGAGAAAUGUCCUUUAAAAAAUACCCUAAAUAUCAGAAUGAAGAUGGACUUAAACUGAUUCAGGAACUUUCACUGGUUGGUUUUGAGGAGAUUCAGUAUGGCAAAACCUGAAUAGAGUUCUCUUAACUAAUAGUU